rnacentral:tRNA from 1 species
GCGAGUGUGGCGGAACUGGUAGACGCACAGGACUUAAAAUCCUGCGGUUUUUUAAACCGUGCCGGUUCGAUUCCGGCCAUUCGCACCA